rnacentral:rRNA from 1 species
UACGUAGGGUGCGAGCGUUAAUCGGAAUUACUGGGCGUAAAGCGUGCGCAGGCGGUUUUGUAAGCCAGAUGUGAAAUCCCCGGGCUUAACCUGGGAACGGCAUUUGGGACUGCAAGGCUGGAGUGCGGCAGAGGAGACUGGAAUUCCUGGUGUAGCAGUGAAAUGCGUAGAUAUCAGGAGGAAUACCGAUGGCGAAGGCAGGUCUCUGGGCUGACACUGACGCUCAUGCACGAAAGCGUGGGGAGCAAACAGG